UGUAAAGCAGUAAAUUAUGAAGAACUAGUAAAGUCUUCAUCAUAAGUAAUGUAGAACAAUUACUAUUUUUAAUUCCUGGGAUAUAAGGUAUAGAUCUUGUUGGUAUCCUGAAAGCAGUUCCAUGCGUUGUUCCUACACUUCCAUUUUCCUUCACUCAAAAAGUGCAAAACUCAGGACAAGCAAUUUUAUUGACUACCACAUGAUAGUCCCAGAGGGUUUUUAUAUUGCCUUUCCCUUUCUCCCAAGAGGGACAGUGCUUUAGAAAACAAUGACUUUGCAAGUAGAAAGUAACUUUCUUUCAAAUGAGAAUGUUUUCCAGCAUAUUAAAUCAACCUGAAUUCAAUGAACUUUUGGGAGGGGGCUAAAAUCUUCCCCAGAAAGGGUAUAUUCCCAAGGGACACUAGCCAGCUGCUCUGCUUUUAUCAAGUAAAUAUGCUUCUACGUCAAUAAAAAGCAUUGGAAGAGAAGGAAGAAAAUAUCCCAUUAUGUGCUGGAAGUCCCAAGGGAGGCAUUAGGCAAUGACUUCACCACACUUCUGGAAGUAUCUCCUGUAGCAAACGCUGUUGCAAGAGCAAGAAUAAGUCCCAUUAAAUUUUACUGGGCUUAAAUAACUUAAUAUGGUGUCAGUUUAUAAAGCCCCCAAACAAACAGAAUGACAAAUUUUUGUUUUCUCCAUGUGGUUUGAAUUUACAUAAAAGAAAUUAGAAUUAGAUUUAUGUACCUCUUAGGUCUGAUUUUAAAUUCAGAAAUGCGAGCAAAUUCAGAGUUAAAUUCCUUCUCUUACAGCUUAAUAUGAUUGUGCUGAGGAGUGUGGGAACAGGCGAGGCGCAGUUCUAAGGCACAGCGGUAAAAGUUGAGGGCAGAAUGAAUAUAUUGAAAUGUUUCAUGGCUUUUAUGAGCCUGAGAAGGAUCCUGCUAGAGCUGUAGCACGGCUCUAUUUAUGCUCAAAUACAGUUAAGCUGAUGGAAGCAAUGUCUGUGCCGUCAGGACAAACGUGGUUUCUGAAUUAUCCCAUCUCCAUUAUUAUCCCAAGGUAACGAUAGGCUUUCCCAUUUAGCCAUCAGAAGAAAUUCACAAUGACCCAGCCAUGUUGCCCUGCUGUGUUUUAUGGAGUAGAGAGUUAGCGAAGUAACAUAAAGGAUCAAGACAACAGGUUCUGCGGUUUUGAAAUGUAGACGUUUGAAAACAUUCUCAGAGCCUCGCAGAGGAAGUCUACAGGGUCUCUAAUGAUUCUACUCCAGACAAGAUGGGCUAGAAUGGAGAGAGAGAUCUUCUCUUAAGAAGUCUGUGCCUUCAAACACCAGCGGGUCUGGCUACCCAGCCAUGGGUUGCCAGGAUCGGCCUUUCAUGAUUCUGAUGAUGCCCCAGGCAUGAGUGACCUGAGCACUUUGAGAACUGUCUGAAAUUGCCCGUAAAUACUGGGGCAGGCUUUGGACAAAGACUAAAUGUUUCCGUUGAACUUAACCUUUGUACUUAGGAGUGCCAUCUUGGGGACUUCCUCAACUUUCUAGCUGAUCAGGAAAAAAAAAAUUAAGUAGAAUCUGAAACCAUAAAUACAAAAGAAAUCUACUGAAUAACAGCUGAAUAUUACCAGUGAAAUGCAUCAAUUCAUCAGCUUACACUUGAUCACACUCUGCAGAAGACUUCCAAAGAAUACAUCAGACUGGAGGAAGUGCAGUGUUACUUGCAUUCUUUUUUCCCCCCAUCCUUUUUCUUUUUCCUGGAACUAAACCAAAACACAUUCACAACAGUAAAAAGUACUGCUUCUGCAGGACAUGUUUCAGAUAUCUGUGCAGAGAUUCUGACCAGCAGCUUCUUAUAUUUAGCAGCCAAAAUAAUGUAUUUGUCACCACUGUUCUCCUUGGAUGCAUCUUUGUGUACAUCAGCUCAGCCCUUCCCUUGACUGACUGUACUGGCAUCUCCUCAGUGCUUCACAGCUUUUUCUAGACUGCUUCUCCUCAGUUCUGUGAUUCUUCCUUUUCUUAUGAGGUUCUAAGUAUUCUAAGAUGACUUUAAUAUGACCUCCCUUUGGGAGCAGCUCCAGAGGGCUCUCACAGGUCCAAGAGGAAAAGACUCCAGAGUGAGGUGACUUGCUCUGUAAAGCACUUGGUGAUCAGCACGGGACUCCUGUUGCCUUAACAGUGAAGUGAAGUGAAAAAAAACUCAGCUCAGUCUGGAUCUCCCUAGAGAUGGAACUUAAUUAUGAUCCAGCACGUUUGUUCAACUGCUGCAGUCCUACACAUUUUGGUGUCACUACUUCUGGUUUUACUGGGUUGAGAAGAGUGACCAACGAAAAUGAAUUUGGAGAAAAAUGGUGCUUUUUACUGAUGCCUGCAAUUGUUGGAUCUCUGAUAUUGUAGUUCCCAUAACAACAUCCAAAUGACUGAGGACUCUGCACCAUUGCUGUCCAUUGAACCUACAGGAUGUGGCUGUUAUUGCUCCAGUUUCCUCAUUUCUCUGAGAAAGGCAAGUGCUUUGGGGAGCUGGCUCCAUGUUUUGUUCCAGCAAACAAAACUUUACUGCUAUGCAUUGUCUGUAUUUUUCCAUCUA